CUACGGGCGGCUCCAGUGGGGAAUAUUGGACAAUGGGGGAAACCCUGAUCCAGCAACGCCGCGUGGAGGAUGACACUUUUCGGAGCGUAAACUCCUUUUAUAUAGGAAGAAGAUGACGGUACUAUAUGAAUAAGCGCCGGCUAACUGCCGUGCCAGCAGCCGCGGUAAUACGGAGGGCGCAAGCGUUACUCGGAAUCACUGGGCGUAAAGAGCGUGUAGGCGGAUUAAAAAGUCAGAAGUGAAAUCCUAUAGCUUAACUAUAGAACUGCUUCUGAAACUCUUAAUCUAGAAUAUGGGAGAGGUAGAUGGAAUUUCUGGUGUAGGGGUAAAAUCCGUAGAGAUCAGAAGGAAUACCGAUUGCGAAGGCGAUCUACUAGAACAUUAUUGACGCUGAGACGCGAAAGCGUGGGGAGCAAACAGGAUUAGAUACCCGAGUAGUC
rnacentral:rRNA from 1 species